AGCGAACGCUGGCGGCGUGCCUAACACAUGCAAGUCGAGCGCGAAAGGGGGGGCAACCCCCCGAGUAGAGCGGCGCACGGGUGAGUAACGCGUGGGCAACCUACCUCCGGGCGGGGGAUAACGACUCGAAAGGGUCGCUAAUACCGCAUGAGACCACGGGGUCUUCGGACCCCGGGGCCAAAGGCGGCGCCGGUUCGCCGGCGCUGUCACCUGGCGAUGGGCCCGCGUCCGAUUAGCUUGUUGGCGGGGUAACGGCCCACCAAGGCGACGAUCGGUAGCUGGUCUGAGAGGAUGGCCAGCCACACUGGAACUGGAACACGGUCCAGACUCCUACGGGAGGCAGCAGUGAGGAAUAUUGCGCAAUGGGGGAAACCCUGACGCAGCAACGCCGCGUGGGUGAAGAAGGCCUUCGGGUCGUAAAGCCCUUUCGGACGGGACGAACGCUUCGCGUCGAUAACACGCGAAGCCUGACGGUACCGUAGGAAGAAGCACCGGCUAACUCCGUGCCAGCCGCCGCAGUAACAC
rnacentral:rRNA from 1 species